AGAAGUUAGGGGCUGCAGCGGCGCUGGCUUUAGGUGAACGACGUGAAAAUUACUUUUCCCACUGAAACACACCCAAGUAUAUGCCCAGCCUUCAUGAAAGUGAACAGAGAAACGAAGCGCCUUUAUGUGGGUGGCCUUAGCCAGGACAUUUCUGAGGCAGACCUACAAAAUCAGUUCAGCAGAUUUGGAGAAGUUUCGGAUGUGGAGAUCAUCACACGGAAAGAUGACCAAGGAAACCCACAGAAAGUUUUUGCAUAUAUCAACAUCAGUGUAGCAGAAGCGGACCUGAAAAAAUGUAAGAUCAUCAUAUAUUUUCUAUACUGUUUGCCAGUUUGUAUGACUCUGUAACUUGGAAUAACUGGUUCUAAAUCUAAACCUCCACAGCCAUUUUUCACGUUAUCCAGAGGGACAGCAGUGAUGAAGAGAAUUCCAGUAUCGUAUAACUCAGCAGGUUUAGGUCCAUUCCAUUUGGCAUCAGCAGACAUGGUAGCACUUUACUGGUGGGUUUACUUAAAACUGCUAUUCUCAAAUAUUUUGGACAAGGGACCAAACUUUCAUAGAAACUGCCUGUUACAUAUAUCCCACUGAAUAUCAUGCCA
rnacentral:lncRNA from 1 species